AGUGUAAUAUCCCUCACUUUUGAAAAUUAUUAAUAAGGAUUUAUAUGUAAAUUGGAGGACCUACAUGUAAAUAUAAAAAUUUCAAGGACUAAACUGUUAAGUUACAAAAAGAAAAAAAAUAAAGAAAACCAAAAAUUUCGGUUUUAUCCCACCGCCUCCCACGCUCUCUCUAUUUCGAGAAACAGAGAGAAGCGGUGGGGCGUGGGGAGAAGAGGAAGAGAAGUAGAGGGAGAAGAGAAGAAGAGGGAAAAGAAGAGGAUGAAGAAGAGGGAGAAGAGAAGAAAAGAAGAAGAAGAAGAAGAAGAGAGGGAAGAUGGAGAGGAGAGAGAGAGAGGCAGCAGCUGCAGCUAG
rnacentral:lncRNA from 1 species